rnacentral:rRNA from 1 species
AUACUGUGAAACUGCGAAUGGCUCAUUAAAUCAGUUAUCGUUUAUUUGAUAGUACCUCACUACAUGGAUAACCGUGGUAAUUCUAGAGCUAAUACAUGCUAAAAACCCCGACUUCGGGAGGGGUGUAUUUAUUAGACAAAAAACCAAUGCCCUUCGGGGCUCCUUGGUGAAUCAUGAUAACUUAACGAAUCGCAUGGCCUUGCGCCGGCGAUGGUUCAUUCAAAUUUCUGCCCUAUCAACUUUCGAUGGUAGGAUAGUGGCCUACCAUGGUAUCAACGGGUAACGGGGAAUUAGGGUUCUAUUCCGGAGAGGGAGCCUGAGAAACGGCUACCACAUCCAAGGAAGGCAGCAGGCGCGCAAAUUACCCAAUCCCGACACGGGGAGGUAGUGACAAUAAAUACUGAUACAGGGCUCUUUUGGGUCUUGUAAUUGGAAUGAGUACAAUUUAAAUACCUUAACGAGGAACAAUUGGAGGGCAAGUCUGGUGCCAGCAGCCGCGGUAAUUCCAGCUCCAAUAGCGUAUAUUAAAGUUGUUGCAGUUAAAAAGCUCGUAGUUGAACCUUGGGCCUGGCUGGCCGGUCUGCCUCACCGCAUGUACUGGUUCGGCCGGGCCUUUCCUCCUGGGGAUCCGCAUGCCCUUCACUGGGUGUGUUGGGGAACCAGGACUUUUACUUUGAAAAAAUUAGAGUGUUCAAAGCAGGCCUUUGCUCGAAUACAUUAGCAUGGAAUAAUAGAAUAGGACGUGCGGUUCUAUUUUGUUGGUUUCUAGGACCGCCGUAAUGAUUAAUAGGGAUAGUCGGGGGCAUCAGUAUUCAGUUGUCAGAGGUGAAAUUCUUGGAUUUACUGAAGACUAACUACUGCGAAAGCAUUUGCCAAGGAUGUUUUCAUUAAUCAGUGAACGAAAGUUAGGGGAUCGAAGACGAUCAGAUACCGUCGUAGUCUUAACCGUAAACUAUGCCGACUAGGGAUCGGGCGAUGUUAUUCUUUUGACUCGCUCGGCACCUUACGAGAAAUCAAAGUCUUUGGGUUCUGGGGGGAGUACCGAAAGGGUGAGGUGGUCGCGUCCUUAAAUGCUAGU